rnacentral:rRNA from 1 species
ACGAACGCUGGCGGCGUGCUUAACACAUGCAAGUCGAACGAGGUCCAACUGAUCUUCGGAUCGGUGAAGACCUAGUGGCGAACGGGUGCGUAACACGUGAGGAACCUACCCCAGUCUCUGGAAUAACAAGUGGAAACGCUUGCUAAUACCGGAUGCCGUCGGGCCACCGCAUGGCGGACCGACAAAAGAUUCAUCGGAUUGGGAGGGUCUCGCGGCCUAUCAGCUUGUUGGUGAGGUAACGGCUCACCAAGGCAUCGACGGGUAGCUGGUCUGAGAGGAUGAUCAGCCACACUGGGACUGAGACACGGCCCAGACUCCUACGGGAGGCAGCAGUGGGGAAUCUUGCACAAUGGGCGAAAGCCUGAUGCAGCAACGCCGCGUGCGGGAAGAAGGCCCUAGGGUUGUAAACCGCUUUCAGCAGGGAAGAAACUGACGGUACCUGCAGAAGAAGGUGCGGCCAACUACGU